rnacentral:rRNA from 1 species
UAAUAAAACUUUCAACAACGGAUCUCUUGGCUCUCGCAUCGAUGAAGAACGCAGCGAAAUGCGAUAAGUAAUGUGAAUUGCAGAAUUCAGUGAAUCAUCGAAUCUUUGAACGCACCUUGCGCUCCUUGGUAUUCCGAGGAGCAUGCCUGUUUGAGUGUC